GAAAAUUUAGAAUAACAGAAGUUGUAUAAAUAAAGAUAUCAUGAUUAGUUGCUCUCAUACUUUGGUCAAUGCAGGAUUAAAGGGAGAGGAAGUAAGUCUGCCAUGUAGAUGUUUAGGACAUGGGCUGGGAAUCCUAACAAGCACCUUUCUUCUUUGGGAGAUCCUUGCAGAGGGAGAACACAAUGGAAAACAGUGGCCAAAAAAGAAUCGGGAUACUACUUUACUAAUAUUCGCCACUGUUGUGAGGAGUUAUGAAACUUAUUACACUGACAGAAGAAGGGCACAGAAAGGGCAAGACUGUCAGUCUCCUGGGAUGCCAUUGAAGUCACUCUGCUGAGAGUUAAAGGUGUGGGAGAAGCUCUGAAGUGUAAUAUCAUCUUGAAGAAGCAACACCAGUACACAAAAUACAGGUAAGCCAAGUUAGAAAUGUGACUGGUCCUUGAAAGGACUUAGCCAAGAACAUGUAACCCAAGUAAGUUACUUUAAUAGAAGAGGCUUAGCGUGCAAAGUUCAUAAUAAAUGAUUUGGAAGACCUACACCAGC
rnacentral:lncRNA from 1 species